GGACAGCGGCAAUCUGCUGCGUCCUGGGACGUAACAAUGCGCCCCUUCUGCGACGCGGGGCCCGCGGGCGAGAGGUCCCGCUGGUCGGAGGGGCCGGGCCGCCCCUGCGCGUCGUGCCUCCUCUCGGCGCUCCUCCGCGGGGAACCUGGCGGCCCAGGGCGCUCCCGGCUGCACGUGCUGUCCUCGCCGCCGCCCACGCCAGACAAAGCGGGGCCCUCCCGGGCGCGUUUCCUAGGCGCCCUCCUUCCCUUGAUGAACCCUUUGAUUUCUUCUCUCUUCUCUAUUUCUCACGUCGUUCCAGCCCCCUCUGCUGACUCCUGGAGCGCCUUUUUUUUUUUUUGUGCUAGCUGUCUCACGUUUGGCCCUCUCCAAAGCUCUGCCUUCACGAACGCCUCCAUUUGACCUAACCCCUUCCCCUACUCUCUGGUCUCCCUUGGUAGCUUUACAAUGCAUCUGAUGGAAAGGUGACUCUCCCCUCUCCUAUUUUCAGCUCCUCGUUACCUUUUGUAUUGUCCUCCCCCUUCCUAUCAGCACCUUCCUUCUGUCCUCGCCCUUUUCAGGACUCUUCCAGAAACUAUCUUGAUGUCGCUGCCUCUUUCCCGUCUCCUUUGCACUUUUUCUUUUCUCUCUGGGCAGUGGGACAGCAGAAGGGAGAUUGCAAAUGGCUACCUAGAUUGAGUCCCCCUUGUACCUCACUGACGCCACCCUUUUUUCUGUCACGUUGAGGUCGAAUUAUCUGGGCGACUGGAUGAGGCUCUGGGGGUUCUGCUGCUGUUGCCGCCAUUAGCAGUCUCUUUGCUUGGCAACUUAAAUGAAGGAAGCUUCUGGGAACUGGCCAAAGACCCUUGAGAUGCACCUUGAGGACUAAACAUCUCUCUCACUCUAUCUCUGCUUGGUUACUCUUUGGUUCGUCUCAGACACCCUCUGCCUCUUCCCACUUCUUGACUCCCUUCACCCCUACCCGCCCCCCAACAAUCACAUUGUUCAUCCCUUUGGCACCAGCUCUAGAGAGGAAAGGCUCUGCAAAGUCAAGCCCAAGGCCGUCUCCCCAAGGUUCUGCUGCCAUCUCUAGAACCCCAGCUGGGACUCCCUGCCAGAGCCUGGAGGGGCUGAGGUUUUGGUGGAAGUAGUCACAGCUCUGGUCCUGAGGCUGGAUGGGAGUUGGUGGCAAAGGGGAAGACAGUGAUGGUGAACAGCUGGGAAGUGCCUUCCAGACCCGAGGUGCACUGUGGCAUAGCUGACUAUGAGGCUCACCGGGCCACUUCUGCUGAACAUACUGCAGGCAAAACUGCUCCAGCUUUCUUCUGCUGAUGCUUUUCCGUCCCAUCAUCUCUGAGGUCUCCUUAGCCUUCAUUCAUUCAUCUGGUGGAUAAUUAUUGAGCACUUACUAUUGUGCUGUUCCAGGCACAAGGGUGCCGUGGAGAGCAUGAUAAAAUUAUCUUGUGAAGCUUACAUUGGUCAAUGAAGACAAGACACUCAAGAUGUAAAUAAAUUCAAAAAUUUCAAAUAGUUAUAAAUGCUAUGAAGAAAAUAAAGUAAUAUACGGAGCGACAAGAAGAAAGGAGAAGAAACAUCAAGUGUCAAGAUCUCAGGGUAGGAAAAGACUUCAGGAAUGUGCUGGGCACAGUGGCUCACGCCCAUAAUCCCAGCACUUCAGGAGGCUGAGACAGGCGGAUCACCUGAGGUCGGGAGUUCGAGACCAGCCUGACCCACAUAGAGACACCCCAUCUCUACUAAAAAUACAAAAUUCGCUGGGCGUGGUCAGGGGGUGCCUGUAAUCCCAGCUACUCAGGAGGCUGAGGCAGGAGAAUCAUUUGAAGCUAGGAGGUGGAGGUUGCAGUGAGCCGAGAUCUCGCCAUUGCCCUCCAGCCUGGGUAACAAGAGUGAAACUCCCAUCUCAAAAAAAAAAAAAAGGAAGGGAGGCCAGUGUGGCCAGAGUGUGGUGGCUGAGGGGAAAUGAAGUAUCAGGGGCAGUGGGGAGAGGGAAGGGACAGGUCACACAGGCGUUGUAUGCCGUGGUGAGGAGUUUGAUUUUAUUUUAUGUGCAGCAGGGGAGAGAUACAUGAUCACUUCAUGAAAAAGACCAUCCUGGCUGUUGUGGAAAAUAGAUGCUUGGGACCAAGAGUGAGAACAAGGAGACCAGAUAGGAGCCCGUUAUAGUGACCCAGGUCUUGGCUAUGGUGGCUUGGAUGGUGCCCCCUUGGAUGGGGGCAACAAAGAGGGCAAGAAAUAGGUUCGAGGUAGAUUUAUUUUAUUUUUUUGAGAUGGAGUCUCACUCUGUCACCCAGGCUGGAGUGCAAUGGUGUGAUCUCUGCUGACUGCAACCUCUGCCUCCUGGGUUUAAGCCAUUCUCCUUCCUCAGCUUCCUGAGUAGCUGGGAUUACAGGCACUGCCCCCACACCAGCUAAUUUUUGUAUGUUUAGUAGAGACAGGGUUUUGCCUUGUUGGUCAGGCAGGUCUUGAACUCCUGACCUCAGAUGAUCUGCCCGCCUCGGCCUCCCAAAGUGCUAGGAUUACAAGCAUGAGCCUGCGCCCGGCCUGAGAGAUUUUAGAGGCAGACACAGUGGAGUAGAAAAUGCUCUUGUCUGGGACCUAGAAGUCCCCGGAUUAAAUCCUGAGUUCACAAAUGAACAAACGACUUCAGUCGCCUCAUCUAUAAAAUAAAGAUAACAGCACUGACCUCCUUGUUUCUCAAGAAGGGAAGCUGAAGAAGGCGAAUGUGCCCAGCAGGGUGCCUGUGAAACAGGGCCUCCAGCCAGGUUGCUUUUUGAGAAUGAGUGGAGGUUUGAGUUUACUCUGGAGAGGUAGCAGGCACUCCAGACAUUUCCUGGAACCCACUUGUUCUCUGUUCAAAAGGUGGAAAGAAAGGAUUCUCACCCGGGCUACUGGGAGUGGGCCCAUCCUCCAGGUGACUCAAAGUCAACUCUUAGUAAACAGUGAAGGGUGUAUUUGGAAGCUACUCAUUGCCUUUUAAAUUGGGGACAUGGGAUUUGGGUGAUGGCUGGGAAAUGCCUGGGGCUGGCAGGAGAGAAUGUCCUGAGGGGCUCAUGGCAGCUGGAUGAGGCAGAAGGGCCUGAACCUGGGAGCGGGGCUGUGGCGUCCAGAGGGGCAACUGGUAGAGGUGGCUCUGGAAAUACGGGCUCUGGCAGAUGAUGGAAGGAAGGCUGGGGUACAGUUUGAUGGACUGAUAGGUUUCCACAAACUCUCAGCCAGCCUGGAUGGUGACCUUUUGCAGGUGGAGCUGGUCAGUUUUGAAACCUUUCCAUGAAAAUUCUGAGAGCAGAGGUCCUGCCUCUGGAAAUCCCCCGUCCUAUACUGGCUUGUUGUCUGUCCUGCAGCCCUGUGGGAGCUGCCUGACCCUGGGGCGGGGUGCAUGGACUUCGAUGAGGGCCAGAAUCAAAGGUCGGAAUAACUGGAGUAGUAUUCAUGGGCUACACCCUUUUCUCUUUAGCUCUCUAGAGUGUGGAUGCUGCAGCCUCAGGUUUCUGAAGGGCAGUAAAGGGGAGCUGACGUCAGAACAGCACCUGUGGAGUGCCUGGCACCAUGCCAAGCACCCUACACUCCUCAUGACGUGGGUAAAGCAAACAUUAUUAUCUCCGUUUUUUUAUAGUAGGAAGCUGAGGCUCUGAGGGAUGCAAGUAUCUUUUCCCAUGUCGUGUGACUGUACUGGGAACUCGAGUCCGCCCCACUUCAUACUCCUGUUCCUGCACAAGCAUUUCUGGAGAGGCUGGGGACAUCAGAACCUCCAGAGGAGGGGACUCUGGAGCUUGAUGUUUAAAAAAGCCACACAGGCAUGUGCAAUGGAGAACUGAAUUGGAAGCGUCUGCCUGUGGCCUUUCUUUUUUUUUUUUUUUCUGAGACAAAGUUUUGCUCUGUUGCCCAGACUGGAAUGCAGUGAUGCAAUCUCAGCUCACUGCAACCUCCACCUCCUGGGUUCAAGCAAUUCUCCUGC